GCCUGAACUAAUUCAAGUACCAGAAGCCACGGGAGCCUGUGGCUCUCUGCAUUAGGAUAGGAACAGGAUUGGGUGGAUGUGUCUGUGAUGCUUUGACUCCAGAGGGGGAAACUGAGGCAUUGAGAGACAACAUGAUUUGCCUAAGGUGACUCAGCAGGCCAGUGACACAGACAGCAGCAUGAAAACUUUUUUUCAGUGGAGAGUUCAGCUUCUUCACUGACAGACCCGUUCGUCUGCGGGUCGCCAUUUUCCUCCUGCAGCCUGAUGGGCCAGGCUGUUGCAACGUCCUCCGAACUGCUCCUGCCAAUUUAUGCCCUGAAUGCAGUGAA